GAUCAGUAAGUGAAAUUUUUGAGAAAUUCAUGAGAAGCUCCAACCUCCCUGAAGUAACUAGAAGACAUUCUGCUAGAUGAAUGCCAAAUUUGUAUGAAUCUAUUCCGAACAGAGACUUUGUAUCUUGCUGUGGGAUGGGUGACUGACAGAUGAUCCAGGACAAAAAAAAAGCAAGUUGACGGUUGCCUGAGUCUGGAAGCCAUCAAGGUCUGAGACUGUGUGUGUUUGUGAAAGAAAGACAUAACAUCUUAACAAGAAGGAAAAGAACAACCAAAGAUUGUCCCAUGGACAUUAAGAGGACAGGACACAGACACACAGAGAAGAUAUAACAGAAGGGCAGCUGCUGAAUUAUCACUGGAUUUGUAUGGAUAGUUUCUCAAUACUGCUAAGAGAAACAAGAUAGAGGUUUUGUAAGAACAUGUUUCAUAACCUGUAAAAGAUGAACUCAUGGAAAGGUGCUAGAUGUUCCAAAUUUAUAAAAACGCAUGAAAUAUAAAAUAAAUACAGUUUAGA